AGCGUAGACGGAUGGAUAAGUCUGAUGUGAAAGGCUGGGGCUCAACCCCCGGGGACUGCAUUGGAAACUGCCCGUCUUGAGUGCCGGAGAGGUAAGCGGAAUUCCUAGUGUAGCGGUGAAAUGCGUAGAUAUUAGGAGGAACACCAGUGGCGAAGGCGGCUUACUGGGCACCAACUGACGCUGAGGCUCGAAAGUGUGGGUAGCAAACA
rnacentral:rRNA from 1 species